GGUUUUUAUUUUAUUGCAUUAGAAUCAGGAUUCAUUAGUAUUAAAGUUAAUAAUUUGACCAAUGAUUUAAUAUAUAGCUUCUCCAAUUAUCAUCUGUGGUUGGAUAUGUCACUGAACUAAUUUCUUCAAAAAAUAGAUAUGCAUUUAGGUCAGUGGUCCAUUUAGCAUGCUUAGAAUUCUAGUGUCAAGUGAUGUGCAACCUGGGAUUGAACUUCAGUGAAAUUUAAGAAUAG
rnacentral:misc_RNA from 1 species